rnacentral:rRNA from 1 species
UGGGGAAUUUUGGACAAUGGGCGAAAGCCUGAUCCAGCAAUGCCGCGUGUGUGAAGAAGGCCUUCGGGUUGUAAAGCACUUUUGUCCGGAAAGAAAUCCUUGGCUCUAAUACAGUCGGGGGAUGACGGUACCGGAAGAAUAAGCACCGGCUAACUACGUGCCAGCAGCCGCGGUAAUACGUAGGGUGCAAGCGUUAAUCGGAAUUACUGGGCGUAAAGCGUGCGCAGGCGGUCUGCUAAGACCGAUGUGAAAUCCCCGGGCUCAACCUGGGAACUGCAUUGGUGACUGCAAGGCUAGAGUAUGGCAGAGGGGGUAGAAUUCCACGUGUAGCAGUGAAAUGCGUAGAGAUGUGGAGGAAUACCGAUGGCGAAGGCAGCCCCUGGGCCAAUACUGACGCUCAUGCACGAAAGCGUGGGGGAGCAAACAGGAUUAGAUACCCUGGUAGUCCAGCGCCCUAAACGAUGUCAACUAGUUGUUGGGGAUUCAUUUCCUUAGUAACGUAGCUAACGCGUGAAGUUGACCGCCUGGGGAGUACGGUCG